rnacentral:lncRNA from 1 species
GGAGUGUGUGUGUGUGUGUGUGUGUGACCGGGUCUUGCUAUGUAGUCUAGGCUGGCCUCAAACUAUUCUCCACCAUCCUCCUGCCUCAGCCUCCCAGAGCUUUGGGGUGACCGGAGUGCGCCACCACGCCCAGCGUCUGCAUUUGAUUUUGGUGGCAGCCGGGAGUCCAGAGACGCUCCAACAGCAGCGCAUGCGCACCUGUGACAGCGCAUCUGGGUGCUCCUCGCCCUCCCUCACCCUUCCGGGCUCUGCUGCCCAAUGCAGGCUUCCCCAGAGGCGCAGCCAGGAUCGCUCUCCUUUCUCCUCCCUGUAUCCCCGGGCCCCGGCGCAGGACACUGGGUGCUGGGUAGCUAUCUGGCUACUCAAACAGAAGUUCAAGGGCCUUUGUACCUGUUGGCUGCUUCACUUGCCUACAGUUGGAGACGGGGCUGGCCACUCCCGACCGUCUCAAGGGAACACAUUCGCGGAGGAGAGGGCCAGGCCCCGAGAGGACCGGAAGUGGCGCCUGGCUGUGUCCUGAGCCCUGUCCCUUCCCUGGCAAGUGUUCCUGCGGACCCUUCCAUCGGAGCGCACUGGCACUGGCUCGGCAAAGCCGCGCUGACCCCAGGGGGACCCCGCUCUGCCCACCGCGGAGAACUUGUUCACUUGUUGACUCGCGCUUCUCCGGCUGGGGUGGGCACGGGUGGGAGCAAGGGGGCU